rnacentral:rRNA from 1 species
GAGUUUGAUUCUGGCUCAGAGUGAACGCUGGCGGCGUGCCUAAUACAUGCAAGUCGAAAGGAGAUUAAAGUAAGCUUGCUUAUUUUAAUCUUAGUGGCGCACGGGUGAGUAAUGUAUAGCUAAUCUGCCCUACACUAGAGGACAACAGUUGGAAACGACUGCUAAUACUCUAUACUCCUUCUUUACAUAAGUUAAGUCGGGAAAGUUUUUCGGUGUAGGAUGAGGCUAUAUCGUAUCAGCUAGUUGGUGAGGUAAUGGCUCACCAAGGCUAUGACGCGUAACUGGUCUGAGAGGAUGAUCAGUCACACUGGAACUGAGACACGGUCCAGACUCCUACGGGAGGCAGCAGUAGGGAAUAUUGCUCAAUGGGGGAAACCCUGAAGCAGCAACGCCGCGUGGAGGAUGACACUUUUCGGAGCGUAAACUCCUUUUCUUGGGAAAGAAUUAUGACG